rnacentral:rRNA from 1 species
UACGGAAGGCAGCAGUGGGGAAUAUUGCACAAUGGGCGCAAGCCUGAUGCAGCCAUGCCGCGUGUAUGAAGAAGGCCUUCGGGUUGUAAAGUACUUUCAGUCGUGAGGAAGGUGUUAAGGUUAAUAACCUUAGCAAUUGACGUUAGCGACAGAAGAAGCACCGGCUAACUCCGUGCCAGCAGCCGCGGUAAUACGGAGGGUGCGAGCGUUAAUCGGAAUUACUGGGCGUAAAGGGCACGCAGGCGGUUAAUUAAGUUGGAUGUGAAAUCCCCGGGCUUAACCUGGGAAUGGCAUUCAAGACUGGUUAGCUAGAGUCUUGUAGAGGGGGUAGAAUUCCAUGUGUAGCGGUGAAAUGCGUAGAGAUGUGGAGGAAUACCGGUGGCGAAGGCGGCCCCUGGACAAAGGCUGACGCUCAUGUGCGAAAGCGUGGGGAGCGAAACAGGGAUUAGAUACC